CACAGCCGCAGGUGGAGAUGUUGCCGCGGGCACAGGCGGCGGUCACCGCGUACGCCGCUCCAGCACUUGCUAUCGCAUAGGUGUAUGCAGCCUCACGAGAAGCUGGAAUACGAUAUUUGGUGGCUGUGGGCUUGGGCGUUGUACUGUCAGCUUUAGUCAAAUCCCAGCCGCCAGCUGUAUUAUUAGCCAUAAUUGCGCGGAGAUGCAGAUGGAGAUGGAGAAGCUUGGCCAUCCGUCGUGACUCGCUGGAGUGUCUAAUCAAGUCGCGUUUUCUUGAGCUUCGGCUGCAGCUCCACUUGAGUUGUCGGGUUAAAUGGCGGAAUUAAUGCUGGCAGUCAAAAAUGGCAAAUGGGAUUAAUGAGUUUUGACAAUGAGUUGCAAAUUGCCAAUUUCAGAUAUUUGUCUCCUCCAAUCGCGCUGCACUGCCUCCCACCUGCCGCCCACCUGCCACCCACUCCCGAAACGUGUCGGCUGUCUAACCUGUCGACUUGCGGCUGCCAAACCAAUCAGCAUCAAACAGCUGCGGCAAUAAUCAUGCGAUCGAUCGAUCGCCUGCUCGCCUUUUGUCCAUGGACCGGGUUACAGCCAGGAAAAGCCAGAGAAACACAUCCCGGGGCCAAACAACUGGCGCACGGGUGGGCAACCCCGAUAUUAAAAUACAAAUGCAACGUAAACUUCGAUUGCCAGCCACAUGGCUACACUUGAAAAUAUAUACAUCUAUUGAAAUAAGAUAUGAUUGCUAUUCAUAUACAGGUGCAAAUAAGAAAACUAAAGGGUUUAACUUAGAAAUUCUAAACAAGUGAUUUUUGCCUGAGUAUUUAAAAUACAACAAUCAUACAGAAGUACUUAGCUUAAUCUAGAAAUUUGAUACCAUUUCUUAUCAUCAUGUGAAAAUUAGAAACUAAGCUAGUGACAUUUCCUGAUAUAUUUAAGUUUCUUCUGUAUAAGUCCACAUCCAACAUAUAUUUCUCUACGUGUCCACAAAUGUAAAUGGCUUUCGAUACCUGCCACUCGAGUGUCUCCAACUCCAGCUCCAACUUCGCUCCAAGUGGAGCUCUGGAGCUCCAGCUUACGAGGCACUCUUAAACGCAGCAAUUAAAUCAAUUUACAGAAAUUACACAUUUUACCAACCGCAGAGGAGCACGAAGACAUGAGCUUAAACCCUCGGCAAAAUGUCGAUGGUCGAACGCUGAUUUCUGAUAUGGGAUCGCUUUUGUUGUUGCAGUUUUGUCGAACACGCUGUUAACAUGGCUCAAACUGGAGUUGAGCGUCGACGAUCGACGGGGAAAUUGGUGGUUAAACUAAUAAUUAGGCCCGUUUAACAGGGCCAAAAGCAAGGCACCGCAGACCUUCAACCGGCUCUGUGGCCAAAGUUGGCCCGAAAUACGCGAUCGAUCUGUCAGCGCAUCCGCUCGACCAGUCAGUCAACCAAUCAGUCAGUCAGCCAGCCAGUCAGGCAGUCGCUCAUUCAGUCAAUAGCUUUUACGUGCGUUCGCCCAGCGUGACCGUCACGUCCCCCGCACCCCACCACGAUAAAUAUGGUGGAGGGUAUAUAGUACUCCAAAACUCCAAAGCCGGCAAUCAGACGGCCAUCUCCAGCUCUUCGCAACCCUUUUGUUUUUAGCUGCUUUAUUUAAUUUGUCGCUUGGCCCGCCCGUCUGCUGUUUGCCUGUUGCAUGUCAACGCCGACAAUUUCAUCAUCAUCAUCAUCGCCAUUACCAGAACAGAUUUCAGUUCCAGACCUAUGCACAGCGAGAAAAUUGGGCGAACUGCAAAUUUUAAUUGAGAUUCAGGUAUUUGUAUUUGUAUAUGUUUAUGCAUUUUGUGAUGCUUAACCGAGACAAUGAGGUAAAUUAUUAUGAAGUAUUAUAAAUGAAAAAUGAGAUCACAUGUGGAGCAAUGACGCUAUUUGCUGUAUAAAUCUUCAGGUAUUUAGAGCUAACUAAAUAUUAAAAAUACUUAUUAACUUUCCAGCAAACUACAGAUGUGUUACUUUCGCAUUAUUGCCCUUCUAAGAUAUUCAUUGUUUGCUCAUCUCCUUCAUUUAUGAACGUACUUGGGACAUCGUCUUCCCCUUGUUUCUCUCUGUGUAAAGCCUAUCCCAAUCCACUCCAUGAUCUUCAGGCCCUCGAAGAAUCCGAGUCACGUGUGCUUGAUUUGCGCUUUGUUUGCUGGAGUACCCCUUUAUUGUCGCAGUCCUUGGACUGCUUUACUUCUUCAUUUAUCUCUGGUUCUAUAUCGGGGUUCCCACUCGCAUCGCGACCCUUUGUGCUGCGUAAGAGCAAGGACCUGCCCUGAACUUGAUACCACUUCCGCCUCCGCCAGGCAGCCCCUUCCAGCGAAUCCCAAAUAGAGCUGGCAUUUACAAAAUGCCAAACUAGUUCCAUUGACAGUCUUAUGGCUUCUGCUGUCCGACAAAUUGGUGAUUCCUCUGGCACUAAUUUGCGCAAAAAUAUUUGCCACGACGACGUGGACUCAUUAAAAAUGGAUUAAGCCUGGUGCAUAAUUCAGCGGCAGCCGAAGCGCAGCCACUUAUGAGUUGGCCGCAAGCAGCAUAAAUGGCCAAUAACAAGCUCCAAGCCAACAGCAUCGUCAGCAUCGGCAGCAGCAGCAGCAGCAAGGAAAACUAAAAACCCAGAAACGCUAACUUAAUGCGCACUUCGGAGCCUCAUAAAAAUAUGACUUUAAUAUUUUCACGCGCAGGCGUAGCAGCCUGCUCCCCACUGCAGCAGCCGGUGAUCCCCGAUAGCCGCAAUACCCCGGCUUUAUCCACGGACGUGGGGCUAGGGCCCUGUCUUAAUUGUGCGAAUCUAGUCGACCAAAUAGUUUCGACCCACCGCUGCGCAGGCGGCUGUUGUUUGGGCCUGGCUAUCCAUGGAAACGCGAGACUUGGUCUUGACCAGUAGCGCCUCCAAUAGCAGGCAGAUAUAUAUGGCCGGCGCUCCGUCUGGUAAUUACAUGCCUUGCUGACAUGUUCAUGGCCCUCCUCGGACUCUUUUACUACUCCUCCUCCAUGGCCAUAACCGGCACACAGCCAAAGUUGGGCCAACAUUCAAGCGCCAAUUGGAGGCGGAAGCAACAAAGGCGCCUUAAUCCGGCCAAAACAAUGCGUUGGUCCAGGGAAAAAUGUUCAUUGCGGUCCCUCGAUCCCUCUGUCCCCACCCUUCAUCCCUCUGUCCCUCGGUUUUCGGGGCAUUUGAAAGUUUUGUGUGCGCUGAUAAAACAGCUUUGCUCUACAGCUGCAUGUAAAGUGGGCGGGGCUGGGAAGGAGUGGUCGGCGGUGGGAGCGGACAAACCGAAAACCCAUAAAGGCUGUUCAACAUGCCAUCAAUAAAACACAAAUAUUCCCAAGGGGGGAGCAGGGAGGAGGCGGUCGGAGGCAGCAAGGAGCAGCGGAGCGGAGCUGGGCGAACCAUGGUCAUGGCCAAGAAAAAUGUCGCUGCCACGCUCAGACAAACGGCCGGCAACAAUUGCUGGCCAUCCUGGCCACAAAAACGACGACGUAAUUGACCAGAGAAAGACAUAUGUACGGCACUGAGAGAAAAGGUGCGUGCAGGCUGGGAAAAUACCAUCAUUGAUCGAAGAAUGUGUAAGUUUGUGCGUAAGCCCAUCCAACUCUUUUUCGCCCAGUGUGCGCAUGCCGUGGCCAUGUAACAGGUAAAAGCCAAAACGGAUCGUUCGUCAUGGACAAUUGGCAGAGACCAAGUGGUCGAAUGGCCACUCAGGCAGUUAGCCAGUCGGGCAACCGCUCCCGCCCUUGCCAUCCAAUUCCCUCCCAUUCCGUCCAAUCCCAUUCCAUCCCAUCCCAUCCCAUCACGCCCUGGCAAACAGAUCAACGCAGAUAGUUUUGUUUGGGCUUUGAGGUUUGCAGUCGAUCACUCAUCCAUAGCCGCAGAAAAAUGGUAAGAGCAAAAUGCGCCAACAAUGCCAGCCGACCAGUGACCAGACCAGGCACAGAUUCCUCGACCACCGCGCCGACGGCUCCAGCACAGAGACUCAAUUCUGCAGGUUGGCCUGGGAAACGUGGAAACCUUGCAACCUGGCAGCCGGGCAACUUGCAACUGGCAACAGGCAAGAGUUUAUGCCAUUUUGGGCUUGUAAAUGCAGCCACAACUGGCGCAGAGUGAUCUUGAUCGCAAUUUGAGCGUUUGUCUGCACGUUCAUGCGUUCCAAUUGUCCAUGUAAGAGCACGAGUACGAGUACGAGAACGAGAUGUAUCUGGAGGAUGCAGCUGGUUUCCUGCCUUGAAAUUGCAGUAACCUCAAUUACACGAGCUAAGCAUUUCUGGGUUAAGACCCUUUGAAGGUUUUUGGUUUUUUUUUUUCGGUGAACUUCAGGUUCUGCUCGGCGAAGCUCUGCCCACAAGACCAGCCCACUGACAGGAAGGGAAUGAAAGCCAGAAGAGGAGCUAAAUUGGUCAAUCGAAAGUGUAUAUGCCCUUGCAGUAAAAACAAUCGUUAAAUAAUAUGUCUUUAUCUAAAACUACUAUACAGUUAGCUCAAAGAAACAUUCAACAUGAAUUAAUUUUUGCCUUAAAUGGAUUGAACUUUUAUAUUAUGAAAUUGUAUGCAACAUUUAAAGUGGAAUUUUAAAAUAAGAUAACAAGAAAUACCUUAUUUAAAAUGCGCAUUUAUAUAAAGAAAACACAACAAGUGAUUCUCGAAUUUAAGAUCAUGGAUCCUGUCCAAGCAUUUUACCAAAAUCAAAAUACCUUCAUCGAGGGUAUAAGACACAGAAAGUGGUGGGGGGAACACGCCGCGUAUCUUUGAGAUACACUCAACUUAUUGCAACUGCAACUGCAUCAAGGCAAUUAGAUAGCAGUUGAAGCACACACACAGAGACACACACAUAGCGGCAGAGGCACGUUGAUGAGUUUAUGGCAAAAAUUGAUUUCCAGUUGUCGCAGCCCCGCCUACCGCCCCAAUCCGAUUUUAGACGCGACUCUUAGCUGCUCCUCGCUACAAAUGAGAGACCGCUGUCUUUCUGUCAGUUUUGUGCCUUACUUGCUGCCUGCCAUUUAAUUGCCAAUUUUAAUGAGAUUUUUUCCAGCGUUUUCCAGCGCCCCCCGUAACUUUCGAUCGGCCAGCAACAACCAUAUAGAACGAGGCGUUACUGUUUGGGCGUUCGAUAAGGAUUUAACAUACAUCGCGCCGUGGCUUCGCAGAUAAAAUUAGCGAUCGUGUCCGGCGAUGUGCGCGAUAUGGCGAAAGGUAACGAAAGAGUUGUCAACUCGUGCAGAUCUGUCAGCGAUAAAAGGAAAGGCCGCAGGAAAUGCAAAGAAAAGCGAAUGAAAAACACAACCCAACCCAGCAGCGCCUUGGGAUCAUGGCAUAAGCAUGGCAUAACUGUUUGGCCGUUAAAGUUAAUGGGCAUACCGUUUAUGGGGCUACUAUACCUUAUUU